CAUUACUGGUCUGUCUAUGGUUCCUAGCACAAGAAGGACGGUUAGAGCUCCUCCAAGCUGCUCUUAAAUGCGCUACAAUAGUACAGUUUAUUUGAGACACCAAUGCCAUAAACGUAGAGUUUAGAUGGAUGCAGUCAAAAAUUCCUUUCAAGUUGGGCAAUUCCAAGUUCAUGUACCACCAAACUAUGUGUGAAGCCUUGGCUCCUUCUCAUUUUGGCUGCGACUCCAGACUAUAAGCAGGAGCCCAAAUAACACAGCACUGAAAUGAAAAUCAAUGCAGGAGGAAACACUGCGACUGCCAGAGGGAGACACUCCCAAGAGCGCUGCCUCAGACAGUCUGGAAAUCGCUGUUUUAACAAGGAGAAAAGUGCAGAGUCACAUUUCUCUUUUCUUCUCAACCCCCCUCGGUUCGGUAUCUGGAGCAGUUGUGUUGAACGGGAAUAAAGCUCUCUCACCUCAGAGAAAAAUACCCGCAAGAAGAGGACAAAAAUACUCUGCACCAAAUAAUGAAAGUAAUAUAGACAGACAAGGCUGAGUGAUUCUGACUGAGAAAACUUCUUCAAAUCUAGGUGCCCUUACAGAUGUUAUGGGGGUUUAUUUGGGAAUUAGGACUGAUUUAUGGUUUAAUCCACAAUCUGCACUUCUCAGGAUUUAUUUAAAUAUCUGCUUAGGGUAACUUGUUGCCCAGUGAUGAUGUUUGCUUAUAUUUAUGGAUAAUCUUUGUGAAAUUCCAUUUCCACAUUUAACUUAAAAAGCAAAAACUUCUAAACAACCUAAGGGGUCUGUUUGGAAUCCCCUUGGAGGAAAAAGUGUGUGUGUGUUUUUUCUUAAAUUUGCAAGUCAGUACUAGAGGCACUUGAGGAUGCAGAUCAGCAGAUGGACUGUCCCACACCUCCCAGCCAAUUCUGUCUGCCAGAGACAAUCACAGACACAACGCUGAACACACAGCUCCAGCCAAAUCCGAUCAGGACAUUGAUCUGAGGCAGGAACAAGGAGAAUACCCACACGCAUACUGAUAAAUACUACCUUUCUUACAAUAAACCAACAGACCAACAUAAAAAUCAAUAUAGAAUAUACCAUUUUUGCUAUUAUCCUUACUAACAAAAUGUUGAUUGUGGGGAUGUUUCAAUGUGUUUAUUGUGUUAUUGUGUUAUUUAAAGAGAAAAUUAUAUCAUCAUUUACUCAUCUUCAUGUCACUCCCAACUUUUAUGACUUUAUUUCUUCUGUGAAUCACAAAAUAAGAUAGUUUGA